UACCAGCACCCCGAGUGGUCGGGACGUUUAUUGGGCCUAAAGCAUCCGUAGCCGGUUCUACAAGUCUACCGUUAAAUCCAGCUGCUUAACAGAUGGGCUGCGGAAGAUACUAUGGAGCUAGGAGGCGGGAGAGGCAAGCGGUACUCGAUGGGUAGGGGUAAAAUCCGUUGAUCCAUUGAAGACCACCAGUGGCGAAGGCGGCUUGCCAGAACGCGCUCGACGGUGAGGGAUGAAAGCUGGGGGAGCAAACAGG
rnacentral:rRNA from 1 species